AUUGAACGCUGGCGGCAGGCUUAACACAUGCAAGUCGAGCGGGGUGAUGGUGCUUGCACUAUCACUUAGCGGCGGACGGGUGAGUAAUGCUUAGGAAUCUGCCUAUUAGUGGGGGACAACAUCUCGAAAGGGAUGCUAAUACCGCAUACGUCCUACGGGAGAAAGCAGGGGAUCACUUGUGACCUUGCGCUAAUAGAUGAGCCUAAGUCGGAUUAGCUAGUUGGUGGGGUAAGGGCCUACCAAGGCGACGAUCUGUAGCGGGUCUGAGAGGAUGAUCCGCCAAACUGGGACUGAAACACGGCCCAGACUCCUACGGGAGGCAGCAGUGGGGAAUAUUGGACAAUGGGGGGAACCCUGAUCCAGCCAUGCCGCGUGUGUGAAGAAGGCCUUAUGGUUGUAAAGCACUUUAAGCGAGGAGGAGGCUCUUUUGGUUAAUACCCAAGAUGAGUGGACGUUACUCGCAGAAUAAGCACCGGCUAACUCUGUGCCAGCAGCCGCCGUAA
rnacentral:rRNA from 1 species